rnacentral:lncRNA from 1 species
AAUGCAUCCCUGGAUCAUAGCAGACUCUGCCUAUAGAGGCCUGGGGUCCCUUUGGCAGCACUUUUGUCAAGAAAGUAGAGUUGUGGACAACCAACUGCACAGGUUGGGUGGCUUUGAAGAACAAGCUGCCAUGAAUCCUACAGCUACAAGGAAAUGAACUCUGUUAACUUGAGUGAGCUUAAAACUAGAUCCUUCCCCAGUCAAGCCUCCAGGUGAGAGAGAAUUCAAUCCUGGCUGGCACCUGGAUUGCAGCUUACAGAAGACCCAGCUAAGGCCAUGUCUGGACUUUAAAUCCACAGGAACUGUGAGAUGGUAUCAGAAGUGGGACCUGCAGUGGGGCAUCUAGCAACCCCCAGGAGCAUUGAGUGACCAGGCAUGGUACCCACUGGGCUCAGGGUGUCCAUUGUUCUCUCGAAGCAACUGAGAAUUGUGGAUAUUCUUUGUUAUUCCAUCAUCAUCUCAAACCUCUUGGGUAUAGUGUUUGAAUGCUACUCUGACCAUAAAUUCCAAUAAAACCUAGGAAAAAAUGAAACUACUAUAU